rnacentral:rRNA from 1 species
GACGAACGCUGGCGGCGUGCCUAAUACAUGCAAGUCGAGCGGACGAAUAGAAAGCUUGCUUUUGAUUCGUUAGCGGCGGACGGGUGAGUAACACGUGGGCAACCUGCCCUGUAGACGGGGAUGACACCGAGAAAUCGGUGCUAAUACCGGAUAACACGAAAUGUCGCAUGACGUUUCGUUGAAAGACGGCGCAAGCUGUCGCUACAGGAUGGGCCCGCGGCGCAUUAGCGCGUUGGUGAGGUAACGGCUCACCAAGGCGACGAUGCGUAGCCGACCUGAGAGGGUGAUCGGCCACACUGGGACUAAGACACGGCCCAGACUCCGACGGGAGGCAGCAGUAGGGAAUCUUCCGCAAUGGACGAAAGUCUGACGGAGCAACGCCGCGUGAGCGAAGAAGGCCUUCGGGUCGUAAAGCUCUGUUGUUAGGGAAGAACAAGUAACGCAGUAACUGGCGUUACCGUGACGGUACCUAACGAGAAAGCCACGGCUAACUACGUGCCAGCCGCCGCAGUAA